rnacentral:rRNA from 1 species
AUGAACGCUAGCUACAGGCUUAACACAUGCAAGUCGAGGGGCAGCAUUAUCGAAGCUUGCUUUGAUAGAUGGCGACCGGCGCACGGGUGAGUAACGCGUAUCCAACCUUCCCCAUAGUCAGGAAUAGCCCGGCGAAAGUCGAAUUAAUGCCUGAUGUUUUCCACGGACGGCAUCUGAUGUGGAACAAAGAUUCAUCGCUAUGGGAUGGGGAUGCGUCUGAUUAGCUUGUUGGCGGGUAACGGCCCACCAAGGCAACGAUCAGUAGGGGUUCUGAGAGGAAAGCCCCCCACAUUGGAACUGAGACACGGUCCAAACUCCUACGGGAGGCAGCAGUGAGGAAUAUUGGUCAAUGGGCGAGAGCCUGAACCAGCCAAGUAGCGUGCAGGAUGACGGCCCUAUGGGUUGUAAACUGCUUUUAUGCGGGGAUAAAGCGGGCGACGUGUCGCCCCUUGCAGGUACCGCAUGAAUAAGGACCGGCUAAUUCCGUG